GUUGCUGCUGCUCAGGAAGUGCUGUGGAUCCACUCAGUAGUAACAACUGGUAUUCCUCAAAAGAGGAAUAAGCCUUUGGAUUUCCUGAAACCUAAACCAUAAGAAAGGUAUUGUAAGACUUUACUGUGGAGCCAAACAGCACCAAAGGGAGAAAGGACACCUGCAGGACUCCCAGGAAGGAUGGAAACCACACCUAUAUUCUUUUGAAAACAUAUAAACGUGGUUUCCAUGCUCAUUUCUUGUUGUACAAGAGUAAGAAAGUUCCAUCUCUUGAGACAAUUGCAUAGAAAAGGAGGAGCUGAUGUAAAUGAGCAAUUGAGAAUUACCUACACAUGAGCAGCACUGCCCAGAGGACUCAACAGGUGCCCAGUGCCAGGCCAUUAACUCUGAAGGACUGGUGGCCAAGGCCAGCAAAGCACAGGAAAACUGUGCUUAGCCCCUACAGGUGAAUCUGUGGCAAGGUAGAAGGUCCAUGGUUCUCAUAAGGAAGUGAAGGAGUUGCAAAAUGGGAGCUUCUGCAGAAAAGUGUCUUCUGGCACUAGCUGUGCCCCAUUCCUACCAUCAAUAAGCCUUGGGUGAAAAGAGGGAGGUGCUCCAGGGGGACUUGGGAAAGCAGACUGGAUGUGACAGUGAAAAAUAAGGCUAUUGGAGGCACACAGCCAUGAGCCAGGAAUGGCUGAGCCCUGAGUCCCACAGGGACUCCCUCCAUAGGUCCGCCUAGAGGAGCACCAGGCUCCCACGGGUUCACUUUCAGCUGCUGAGAGCCAUUCUAUCCUUAGCACUGCCCUCCCCAGAGCUGCCACGAAUGUGUUCUGCACUGUGAGUCCAGAGAUCCACAGCUGCAGCUCUGGAGUGGGAGCUUUCCUUGGCAGCUCUGGGUGAGACGUGGGCGAGGGCACCAGCGGAAGGAGCCCCGUUACGCCCUGACCCGUGUGAGCACACGUCUGUUUCUGCGCAGCCUCCCUCGCAGACCAGCCGAAAUCUGGGUUAUAUAAUGCCACUGCUGCCUCGAAACAGGGAGGUUAAAAUGAGGUCGUCCAAGAUGGGAGCUGCCUGCAGCCUGCAGCCGCCUCGGGAGGACGAUCCGCUGCCUGCGCCGAGCCCUGCACGCAGGGGAGCACUGCAACAUAAACAUACAGAACCAUAGGUCAGGAUGCUGGAAGUCUCCAGAGCGCUCACGGUGUGGAAUCAGGCCCAUUUCUUUAUUUGCAUCUCCCUGUUUACGUGACGAACUGUGCUGAGCAGGCAGCGUGACGGGCUGCGGUCACAGGGCACUGCAGAGCUGCGGGGUGCCAGAUCCACACAGCACAGAGCUCUGUGCCACAGUCAACCCCAGGUUUUACCCUUUUUAAGCAUGUUUUAAGGGUGCAAGGUCUACAUUAUUCCUUCCAUCAUUGCUUUAUUUGCAGUAUGCUGUGGAAAGGCCAUCGCUCCAAGGGGAUCCACGUAAGAAAGUAUACAACUGUAAUAGAAAAAGCAAGAAUUCUGUUGCAUUAAAGCAGAUAUUCUUUUUCCAGAAUACUAAUGCAAUUCCUCCAGAACAAAGAGUGGAAGCUUCCUCCUGUAAGUGCAU
ensembl:lncRNA